UUCUCUAAUCUCUAAACUCUGAACAUCUCUGUCAGAUGCCAGAGACAAGGUUGUGACCUAGGCGGGUGCGGUCUACCACGCCACGGGCAAGUUCUCUGUUCAACCCGAAAGGUUGAACAGAGGAUCCGUGGCGAAACUGCCAGGCAUGGACACACAUAGUGAUCCCCUGGCUGGUAGGCGCCGGGCCACAGCCAUUGUUUCAGAGUCUACAUGCCAGGCAUGGGCGACAGCUCCACUGGCAGGUAGACUCCAGGCGAUAUUCAGGGGUUCAGAGGGAGUUAGUAACUCGAGGGAACGAGUUACUAACUCGAGGGAACGAGUUACUAACUCGAGGGAAGGAGUUAGGAACGAGUUAGUAACUCGAGGGAACGAGUUACUAACUCGAGGGAACGAGAUA